rnacentral:rRNA from 1 species
GACGAACGCUGGCGGCGUGCCUAAUACAUGCAAGUUGAGCGAUGAAGAUUGGUGCUUGCACCAAUUUGAAGAGCAGCGAACGGGUGAGUAACGCGUGGGGAAUCUGCCUUUGAGCGGGGGACAACAUUUGGAAACGAAUGCUAAUACCGCAUAACAACUUUAAACAUAAGUUUUAAGUUUGAAAGAUGCAAUUGCAUCACUCAAAGAUGAUCCCGCGUUGUAUUAGCUAGUUGGUGAGGUAAAGGCUCACCAAGGCGAUGAUACAUAGCCGACCUGAGAGGGUGAUCGGCCACAUUGGGACUGAGACACGGCCCAAACUCCUACGGGAGGCAGCAGUAGGGAAUCUUCGGCAAUGGACGAAAGUCUGACCGAGCAACGCCGCGUGAGUGAAGAAGGUUUUCGGAUCGUAAAACUCUGUUGGUAGAGAAGAACGUUGGUGAGAGUGGAAAGCUCAUCAAGAGACGGUAACUACCCAGAAAGGGACGGCUAACUACGUG